GGGGCAGGUCUUCCCUGUGCUGUUCUCAUGAUAGUGAAUAAGUCUCACAAGAUCUGAUGGUUUUAUAAAGGGGAGUUCCCCUGCCCAGGCUCUCUUGCCUGCAGCCAUGUAAGAUGUCUCUUUUGCUCUUCUUUCAUCUUCCACCAUGAUCAUGAGGUCUCCUCAGCCAUGUGAAACAGGAGAUGGUGGUUCUGGGUAUGCUUCCCCAAAGAGAGAUGUGGUAGGCAGACAGCAGAAAUGCCUGUGUAUCUUUGCUUCAAGAGCUUUAGAAUAACUUAGUACAUUUGCUAUAUACAGAAAUGUCUGGAAGAACACGUGGAAAGAGACUGGUGCUUCAAGCAGCUAGAAAAAAGAAGUCCUCUUGUAAAUGUAACCAGUUCGUUGCCUGAUGUGCAGCAAGUGAAUACCUCAAGAAACAAGGUUGCAGCAGGGAAAGAAGUCUGAUCUUAACGCAGCUGAACAAGGAAGAGGAGGAAACUUCAAAUCUGCCUCCCAAGGAGCUUAACGAUAGGGAUUUUAAGGGGGUUAAUCAAGUAUUGUGCUGGAGUGUCGGGAUCAUUGAUUGGUUAAAGAGUUCACGGUGAAGGCAUGGGAUGGAGAGAUGAAGAAACUGCCUUCUCAUGCUGAUUCGGUUCCUCUGUGGGGUCUUCAAGCUGUCUGGAAUCAGCCAUUCCCCAGGAACUCAUGAUCUGAAAAACAUCUUAAGCAACUCUAAAACAAAAACUUGUCUAAUGUCAAAGAUCAUAUCUCUACUAACAAUGAGGAUGCAAAAGUCAGUAUCUGGUGACUUUUGGUUAACAAGCAGCUACAAAGAAGUAGGACAAAGUGCAGCCUGAUUAAUGCUUAAUUAUAUUUCUGUCCAGAACAUGGUAAAUAAUUCUUGUUAAUUUUGUGAGGAUGUAGGCUCAGCUAGAGGGAGGAAAGGAAAGAUAAAGAGAGCUCAACUGCAGGGGUAGCUGCAGGUAAAAGGACAGAAGGAUCCUGCAUGAGACCAAAGGGAAUGGCGUGAUGCAGAAACAGGAAAUGCAUGCAUGAUCCACCUGCAUGGUCAAAUGUUCCAUGAACAAUCCCACAAAGUUUCUGAGUGCCAGAAUCUUGCAGAAGCAUCGAAUACACACCAUGUCACCCCAAACUGGCAUUAAAGUAGCAAGGAGGACUUCUGAGACUAAAGUAACCAUAUUAAUAGGAGGGGGUGUGUGAAUGUGGACUUUACUCGGACAGGAUCUCUGUUUUGUUCUCCUCUACCUCCCCAUCUCCUACAACAUGUCAGGCACGUAGCAGAUGCUCAGUUAAUUUUGUCUUAUGGGAACCCAAAUGGACCAAAAGCUAGACAGAAAGACAGACCUGGCAGUAUAUUCUUUCAUGAAAAGGGUCUUGAGGACCAGUAACUCCCAUCAUUUUCCACCUACCUUUGCUUGGUUUAACGUUUUAAUAUUCCACACUCAUGAAGGAAUUCAGGUAUACACCAGGAAAAUCGGAGGAAAGUUUGAUGGAGAUUACGUUUCUGCCCCCUAAUGGAAUGGGAGCUCAUACGAGAAAGCAAUGCUCAUUUAUUACUAAACGUUUGUUUAUUGAGCCCCUAUUAUGUGCCAGACACUGUUCUAAGCACUGGGUAUAUGUCAGCAAACCAACACAAAGUUAUAGAAACAUAAAGUUUUGUUUCUUGAACAUAACUAAUGUUUUUAAACCUCAUGGUAGGUUAAGUACUAUUAAAUAUUAUAUGAGUAAUAACCCAAGAGGACCCUCAAAGUAGACAUUAUAAUACAUGCUUUAUAGAUUGAGGAAGCUGAAACGCAGAAAAAUUACUUAUUAUGCCCAAGGUCACUAAAAUAGUAAAAGUAGAUUCAUGUUAUGAACCUAAGCCAGUCAGGCCCAAAUGCCAUGUUUAGAAUUAUAAUUUCUCAAACUGAGCUGUGUAUUCUCUAAAUCCUGAUGACUCGGAAGUACAACCCUAGCCAGAGCCUCUCCCUUGGACUCCACGUCCCUACAUACAAAUGCUUAUAGGAUAUCUCCAAUCGGAUGUCCCACUGACACCUCAAGCUCAGCUUAAAAAAAUUAAAACUGAAACCCACACUGAUCUUUCCAAUUUUUCCUGGGUUUCUUCCCACAGGAAAUGCCAUCCUUUCAAUCUACAUUUACCACACCAUAAAUUUGGCUUUCUUCCUUUUUGUCUUCCCUCCCCCUCCCCCACAGGCCAUCCCUCAUCUAACCGAACAGCAGGUUCUGUUGCUUCUCUUCUCCUAACAUCUGUCAAGACUUUCCCUAUCUGGUGGUAUCAUCUCUUGUUUGCAGUAUUUUAAUGGGCUUCAGGUUUGUUCCUCCAACUCAAACUUCUGCAUCAUCAUCGCCACAAUCUAGCUAAACUGAUUUUUAUGAAAUAAAAAUCUGACCAUUUCAUGCCCAUGUCAUCGUGCCUUACAAAUAAAGCCCAGCUUUUGUUGACGUACCAUAUAAAACGAAUUAUGUGGGUCCUAUCUGCUAUCUAAGUUUCACCUCUCACCCUUUCCUCUUUCAGUCUUCCCUUUUCUCUUUCAGUCCUACUAAUUGGAAUCCAUCAGAUACACAAUCUG
rnacentral:lncRNA from 1 species